rnacentral:tRNA from 1 species
GCGCUCGUAGCUCAACGGAUAGNNGGAUCAAGAGGUUGGGGGUUCGAGUCCCUCCGAGCGCGCCA